AAGCAAUCAUUUGCAGCUGCGCGGCAAGCCACGCGCCCAGGAGAGGCGGGCCUAGCAAGGGGCCGGAGCGGACGCGGCCUCUGAGUGGCUUAGCGUCAGGAGGCCACACCCCUCUCCAGGCCACGCCCCGUUCCCGGGAAGUUCUAUGUUGCUGAAGAAGGGGGACUGCCUGAGAAAUGUGUCCUUAGAUGACUGAGCUGUACACACAUUAUAGAGUCUUCUCCAUCCUUACACCCUGCCCACUGUGUGUGUGCGUGCACUAUGGUGCUGCCUACGAGGAGGUCAAAAGACAACCAGGAAUCGCUUCUCUCCACCAUGUGGAAUUCAGGGACUGAACUCAGGUUAUCUGGAUAGCGAACACCUUUACCCAGUGAGCCAUCCCACCACCCCUACAGGUACACUGCCUCCCAUAAUUACCUAAUACCUGUCAUACGCUCAGCUUCUAGCGAGUUCAACAUCAGGACCAUUCUCAACACAAACUCCCAGAUUCUCCAGUAUCAUUUCUCACUCCAUUUACUACAGACUUACCUUUGGCAAGUCUCUCAAGCUCUCUGCUGACAGACAAGGCUCCAAAAACAUUCCAGGUCAAACGUGCCCAUCCUUGUCCAUCCCCCGAUAGGGGCAGCCGUCAGACUGUGGAAGGACUAAACCGAACAUCCUGCUCAAAGGAAAAGCACCAAGCUACCUCAGGCUCUCCAAUUUUAUUACAGGGCAUGCUGAGGGAUGGAGGAAGAAAGGCAGAGGGGUGGCAAGGUGGCAGCUGGGGAUGUGCAGCGUUAUCUGAUG
ensembl:lncRNA